GGUCCUGUGGUGUAGUGGUUAUCACAUUUGCUUUACAAGCUGUUCACUUGUAAAUCUUGCAACGCAAAGGGCCGCAGGUUCGAUCCCUGCCAGGAUCA